UCCAAGAGGCUUUGCUUCCAUCAACUCCAAGGCCUUCCCCUGCCUUGCCUUCCAUUGAUCUCUUCCCCAAUGUCAAAAAUCCUAUUGCCCCAUCACCCAGUCAAAAGUAGGAGACCCGCACCUUACAACUCUUCCUUCAGAUCGGGUAAUUGUGAACAGACAUUGGAGCUAGUCCUUUGCCCACCUCCCAGGCAUUCUGGCUUCUCUGUGUAACAACUCUGGCUGUCCUGAAAUUCGCUUGGUAGACCAGGCUGCCCCUGGAACCCAUAGAGUGUUGGAAUUCAAGGUAAAGCAGAAAAUUACCAACCCACCACAUCUGUUUGAGUCAUCUAGAAGAGCCUUCCAGCCUCUGCAACAGAAGGCCCAUGCCAGCUGGCCAAUAAAAUUCCUG